rnacentral:rRNA from 1 species
UACGGAGGGUGCGAGCGUUGUCCGGAAUCACUGGGCGUAAAGGGCGCGUAGGCGGUCUGUCGCGUCUGCUGUGAAAUCCCGGGGCUCAACCCCGGGCUUGCAGUGGAUACGGGCAGACUAGAGUUCGGUAGGGGAGACUGGAAUUCCUGGUGUAGCGGUGAAAUGCGCAGAUAUCAGGAGGAACACCGGUGGCGAAGGCGGGUCUCUGGGCCGAUACUGACGCUGAGGAGCGAAAGCGUGGGGAACGAACAGG